AUUGCAUCUUGGCUACGAUCAUGUGUGUGAUCUGUUCUUGUCAGUUUAAUAUUUGAUAGGCUCCGCCGUCAAGAGGUGUUCACUGUAAAUUAAACAGAUUUUUGAGAACAGUGGCCUAGGCUGGUGGGGUUCACUCUACUGGGACGAGGCAUGGUCCAGGUGUUGCAGAACUUCCAGGAGUAGCCAUACCAA
rnacentral:snRNA from 1 species